rnacentral:rRNA from 1 species
AAUCAACGCUGGCGGCGUGCCUAACACAUGCAAGUCGAACGGUGACGAGGAGCUUGCUCCUCCGAUCAGUGGCGAACGGGUGAGUAACACGUGAGUAACCUGCCCCAGACUCUGGAAUAACAGUUGGAAACAGCUGCUAAUACCGGAUACGAGACGGAGAGGCAUCUCUACCGUCUGGAAAGUUUUUCGGUCUGGGAUGGACUCGCGGCCUAUCAGCUUGUUGGUGAGGUAAUGGCUCACCAAGGCGACGACGGGUAGCCGGCCUGAGAGGGCGACCGGCCACACUGGGACUGAGACACGGCCCAGACUCCUACGGGAGGCAGCAGUGGGGAAUAUUGCACAAUGGGCGCAAGCCUGAUGCAGCAACGCCGCGUGAGGGAUGACGGCCUGGUUGUAAACGUCUUCUAGUAGGGAAGAAGCGAAAGUGACGGUACCGUACAGAAGAAGACACCGGCU